rnacentral:lncRNA from 10 species
AUGGGAUAUCACUUCCAAGAUUAGGCUACAAAGUCUGUGACUCCCGUCUUACUAGCACUCUCUCUUGCCUUCUAGGCUUGUCCAUUUUAAUGAGAAGCUUAUGUGGCAUGGAACUGAGUUCACCCCCAACCAGCAGCUGGUGAGGAAUGGAGCUCUUCGUUCAAUGACUCAUAAUGAGCUUUGAGACAACCAAAGCCCCCUAGCUAACCUGUGCCUGGAUUCCUGGCCCACAAAGACAGUGAGAGAGGGACCCAACUCAGCCCAUGAAGCCACUGAAAUACAGGAAAGAGCAUCUUCAUUGAAGCCACUGGAGCAUGGGAAAGAGCACCACCAGCUCCCUGCUCGCUAGCUGUGAACCUCAGGAUGGAAUAGAAGAUGGAUAAAAAGCUUCUACUGCAGCCUGGGCCCAGUUCACUUUCUCUCUUGGCUCCAAUCCUGGUGGACACAGUAGGGGCUCCUCAAAAGCUCCACCCAUCACCUCCUUGAAUCACUGCAUCAUCUACUUCACACUGGGGCACAGACAAUUGGAUGGCUUCUUUGAUCUCUGUCUAGCACUUGAUCGUAAGUAUUGGAUUUGAAAACCUAACUUUAAAUAAUGUGAGGAAGAGGAUCCAAGGUAUGUUUUAUUUCAACAUAUUAAAAAUGGAUAUCAGAUAUAAAAAUACUGGUUAAGUUAUAUAAGUAGAAUUGUUUCCAGACCAUAUUGUGUAUUAAUUAUAUCCUAGUUCAUAGCCAUAAAACAAUAUUUUAUUAUACUACAUUUCCGGUGGUCACUGAGCAUCCAUGAGUAUAGUAAGUGGAAAAAUGGUAAAAUCUGCAAAAUGGUUCUAUAUUAGAUUUUAUUAAAUAAGAGAAGCAACAACUUAAAUCAGACUCAAAAAAUCAAAAUAAUUUGGCUCCUUUAAAAAGCAAAGAAAGAUCAACAAAAAACUAACAUUUGGCCGAGGUAGCUUGCUCCCUUGUGGAUUCAG